AUAACAGUUAGAAAUGACUGCUAAUACCGCAUAAGCGCACAGGAUUGCAUGAUCUGGUGUGAAAAACUCCGGUGGUAUAAGAUGGACCCGCGUCUGAUUAGCUGGUUGGUGAGGUAACGGCCCACCAAGGCGACGAUCAGUAGUCGACCUGAGAGGGUGACCGGCCACAUUGGGACUGAGACACGGCCCAAACUCCUACGGGAGGCAGCAUG
rnacentral:rRNA from 1 species